rnacentral:rRNA from 1 species
ACAUGCAAGUCGAGGGGCAGCACGGGAGUAGCAAUACAACGUGGUGGCGACCGGCGCACGGGUGAGUAACGCGUAUGCAACCUACCUAUCAGAGGGGAAUAACCCGGCGAAAGUCGGACUAAUACCGCAUAAAACAGGGGCACCGCAUGGUGAUAUUUGUUAAAGAAAUUCGCUGAUAGAUGGGCAUGCGUUCCAUUAGGUAGUUGGUGAGGUAACGGCUCACCAAGCCGACGAUGGAUAGGGGAACUGAGAGGUUGGUCCCCCACACUGGUACUGAGACACGGACCAGACUCCUACGGGAGGCAGCAGUGAGGAAUAUUGGUCAAUGGGCGAGAGCCUGAACCAGCCAAGUCCGCGUGAAGGAAGAAGGAUCUAUGGUUCGUAAACUUCUUUUGCAGGGGAAUAAAGUGCAGGACGUGUCCUGUUUUGUAUGUACCCUGAGAAUAAGGAUCGGCUAACUCCGUGCCAGCCGCCGC